rnacentral:hammerhead_ribozyme from 1 species
AUCCAGAUGAUGAGUCCCAAAUGGGACGAAACGCGCGUCCUGGAU